rnacentral:misc_RNA from 1 species
GUGAAUCAUCGAAUUUUUGAACGCAAAUUGCACUCUCUUCGGAGAGUAUGUCUGUUUGAGGGUACGAUUUAAUAAAUAUUGGGGAGUUGCUUUUUUGGGACGCUCUGGUGAGCUGGUCAUCAUAAUAACUUUUAGGUUGUAAGAGGCUAAAAAUUGACUUUUUUUUUGCAUUUUAGAUGUACAUAAAUUCUUUUUUUUAUUCGUCUGUCUUAAUGCUCAAAAUCCUAUUAGAUGCGAUCAUAUCGUG